UCGGUGCCGAAUCGCGGAAGUAAAACCGUCUCUGUUCUCGUCCAGGUGUGACGGUAGCCGUUUCCAACGUGGUGGCCGCAUCAAGGGAAGGUGGUGCACCACGUGUUUCCAAUCUGCGGCGCCCCAUGCGAGGGAGGAGGCUGCGAGAUAAAUUAACCCCUUUGGCCGAUCUCCAGGUCGCUUAAGGAUCGUGAUUUAACAAGCAAACUCGAUCGACAUGGAACCAGCUGGAAUCUCGAUAAUACAGACGGGUGGAAUCGCGGACAAUGCGGGUGGAAAAUCGAAAGACCUUGGCAUCACGUUCAAUCCGAGCUCGAGCAUACAGGCUGCAAAGGAAAAGAUCGUGACACCAUGGUUUAAGAAAUUGAUGCACGGCGAAGGGGCCUUGAAGAACACUGUGCUCACUGCUCUGGCGGAGAUGAUUGGCACUUCCAUGUUGGUGUUCCUUGGAUGUAUGGGAUGCGUUGGAAGCCUUGGUGUCGUUCCUUCUCACUUCCAAAUAGCCUUAACCUUCGGCCUGGCUGUAAUGAUUGUGAUUCAGUCCCUUGGCCACAUCAGUUUAGCUCACAUUAACCCUGCCAUCACGGUGGGAUCGGUUGUGCUUGGAAUGAAGACUAUUCCCGAAGGUUUGGUCUACUUCCUGUCUCAAGUAGUUGGUGGAGUCUUAGGAUUUGGAAUGUUAAAGGUGGUGACUCCAGCGGGUCGGAUGACAGGCAAAGACGUGGACGAUGAGGACAUGUUUUGCGUGACCGAUCUGCACACCGAGCUGUCCGCUAUACAGGGCCUCCUUCUCGAAGGCAUUUCCACGGCUGUACUGAUGCUGGUCGCGUGCGCCGUCUGGGACAGCAGGAACGCGAAAAACACCGACUCGGUGCCAAUCAGAUUCGGAUUGACGGUGGCCGCUCUCGCUCUCACAGUCGGCCCGUACACGGGCUGCAGCAUGAACCCGGCCAGGUCGUUGGCACCGGCGCUCUGGAACAAUCAGUGGUCCCAUCACUGGAUCUACUGGUUCGGCCCCAUCGGUGGCGCCCUUCUGUCGUCCUUCACGUACAAAACCAUCUUCGGCGUGAAGAGGAACAAGCGGGAGGAGCCUGCCGCAGAAGCUGUGGCGUUGAACAGCGUGGACACCCAGAAGGCCGAGAUUCUACAUUAUCGAAGCAAAAUAUCGAUUAAUCGGCCCAUUCUCUGAUUACGAUAUAACGAUCGGGAGAAACGAAACUUUGAAGAGAAUUAUAUGCGAGAUGAGGGGAUCUCUGGUGUGAAGUUCUAUCGUGUAAACGGCAUGCAAAAUCGUGCAUCAAGAAUUUUGGCGAAGCGGAUUAUCUUGUAAGGGCUGGCCGUAAAGGUCGGCGAUAAAUCGUCGUCGUUGGUCGAGCGAGGAAGUUUGGUGAAACUGGUUUUACGACACGCCGGGAUUUAACGUUCUCGGUUUACCGUCGAUGGGAAGAACCUUAACCAUGGAUCAAGAAGGGAAAGCUUUCAGAAUUCUGGCCGACGACGCGUCGUUUAACUUUUUAGCGGGAUAUUGUUGGAAGAAUAUUUUAUAUCUAAGCAACUUUUGGAAUGCGUUGGAUGUCAUCUAAUGACUUUUGAGGCAUAUCGAUCAAAUUGGACUAUGCGAAUCCGUGAUAUGACAUUUGAAGAGGACCAGAAACGGGAGCGUCCAGGGUACGAGACGAUCGGCAGUUUAUUCGAGAAAGUACAAGAGAUUAAGUGUUUAAAUGGAGGGAUGUGGAAGGAUCGAAUUGGAAGCCUGAAACGCGAUACACGAUCGCCUGGACCUGGGAGUCAUCAUGUGCCGCCAUCUUGGACCUCGAACACCUCCGUUUUUUCCUUCGAUCGUAUCGCGCUCGAACGAUUCACGAGAUCGCAAGACUGUAUAAUUCAGAGAAAUCAUUCGUUGCCUGCGAAAGAGCGACGACAUUAUAUUGUUAGAAAAAUGUAUAGAUAGUGUACACUGCUGUUCGAAAUUAUUAGUUACAUUCGAUUAAUUUUAAAAAAUUUUUUUAAUAGACCUCGUAAGUGUAGCUCGUUUGUAAAUUUUUCUAUGAUAUGAAAAAUAUAACGAGUCUCUGAGAAUAUGUAGAAUCGAAAACUAUAUAAUUUGAUUUAUUUAAUUUUUUAUAUUUUAUGUAUCUGUAUUCAUUGAGUAGUGUUAAAAAAUAAGAAAAAAAUUUGGAAAAGAAUAAUAUCCUGGAACAAAGUUUGAUUGAGAUGUAAGAAUGAAAAAUAAUAAGGAUUAAAAACUGUUUAUAUUUAAAUAAUUAAAUUAUAUAAGUCGAAAAAUUUGACAGUAGAAUUUGUAAAAUAUCUGUGAAAAUUUUGUGGAAAAAUGUAGUUAAUACUUUUGAAUGGUAAUGUACUAUAAAGGAUGCCAUAUUGGUUAUCGACCAUUUUAUAAUUCAGUGAUUUGUAUGUACAAAAUGGCGUUUGUUAAAUUACUGCUGGAAACACGCAUUUUGUUAUUGUUGUCUGUUUUUCUUUUUUUAAUACUCUGGUAUGUUUCGUAUUACGUAUUUUCAAUUCAUCAGAGAUUUAACGAUUCGCUAAUAAUUGUCAUUGUAUAUAAUUGUUAUGAUAUUUUUUUAUAGAUAUAUUUAUCCGUGAUAAUGGAAAAAAAAAUAUAAUCGAAUCAAAAACA